UAACUGAUAAGAAUUUCAAAAGCUCACAAGGUUUUAAUUACUAAGUAGCCCAAAUUCUAGGUUAGUAUGCAAUUUAAGUUGAAGUCAUUAAGUUUUCUGUUAGGGAGUUGUAAUACUUAUUUAUACUUGAGUGCUUAGUGAAGUCUAGACCAUGCACCAGCUAAGGUUUCGGAUCUCCAAAAUAUCGCUAAUAUUAGUAGUUUCCAAGAAUUGAUCGGACAAGACCUAUUUGCUGAUUCAAAAUCAUCUUUUCUGCAGGAUUUCGAGAGCUGUGGAUAUUUACUUUAAUACCUCAUGGGCUUUAUAUGUAAUAUUCCAGUUUACUCGAAUUUUUACAAUGACGGCUUUCACACUAUUGUCUUUUUUAAGGUCGAUAUACAUUUUUUUGUUUUUCAUUUUUUUCUUCUCUUUUUUUUUUGAAUGAGAAAUGAUAAUGUAUAUAUUGUGCACUUUUACUCCUGUGAUGAUUCCUCCAUGUAGCAAGCAAUUAGUCGACAAUUCUCACACCAGUUGGUAUGAGAUGUCGGGCAUCAAGACUCCCCUACGGACCUAUGCUCGGGUUCCUCAUCACAAGCCCGCUGACCUUUGACAAUAGGUAGCCCUUUUCGAUGUACCUGACUAAAUCCACCAAAUAGUUUUUUUUUUUUUGGAUCAGAAAAAGAUGGUUCAUCAGGAUUCGAGGUUGCUACCAUAUUCUCAACACAAUGUCGAACCUAUACCUUAGAAAAUGCAGGCCAGAUGUGUUGUGAAAUUCAAAGCACUAAUUAGCUU
rnacentral:lncRNA from 1 species